AAAUUUAAUAUAGUAACAGAUUCACUUAAAGUUUCGACCUCAACCUACAUACCCCUCAUUUGAAAUUUAAAAAGAUAUAUCUCCCCAAUUUGAAAGUUUGAAACUUAUUUAUCCACGUUAUAAAGUUUUGAACUAAAAUCCACCCAAACCUUAGAUUUAAUUUGGUUUGCUGUUUACCAAUUUAGUCUAAACCAUAUACACAUGAAAUUAAACCAAAAUUAAACCGAUUAUAACCCAAUAGAACCACUUAACCCAAAUAAUCCUACCAAACCGAUUAUAAUUCUAAAAUCCCUAAAGCUAAAAAUACACAAAAAUCAAAAUCUUCGAAGACGCAAUCAUCUCCGUCCAACUCUGCUUUCCUUCUCUUCUGCGCAUCCAUCCUUCUCCUCCGCCUUCUCAUCAUACUCAACCUCCAAUUUCUCUACCUCUGUAACGAAAAUCGGUGGCGAACAUGUGACCAUAUAUCAAAAUCCACAUUUUUAACCUCCAGCCGUUGCAAAGGAGCUCGGUUGACAUUUGGGUCAGUCUGAAUCUUGUAGUUGCCACCAUGAAAAAUCUCGUCUUCUUCGCCGUCGUGGUAACUGGAAGAAGCUACAAUAAUGGUGAUUUUGACAUUGUUGAUGACGAAGAGGUAUGGCGGUUUCAACCACAAGAGAAAGGAGCUCCAAUGCGCUACCUUAAGAAAUAUAGCCACAACUGUGAUUCCAGUGGAGAUAAGCACCGCCUUGAUGGUCGACGAUACCAUUUUUCCCGAUUAAUGUGAUUCUUUGAUUCAAAAAAUUUCAUUUGAAAUCAUAAUCAUUUCGUCUGGCUGAUUCGAACUGUAGUUUCCAUGCCGUAAAAUAAUUUACUGGAAUUAUGGCUUCGGGUUUCAAGAAAUGAAAGGAAACUGUAAAAGUUAUUGUUUUUCAAUAGAUAUCGAUACUGAGUUUUGUUGACUUUGCUUCG
rnacentral:lncRNA from 1 species